rnacentral:rRNA from 1 species
GUCCACGCCCUAAACGAUGAUGACUAGUUGUUGGAGGAGUUAAAUCCUUUAGUAACGCAGCUAACGCGAGAAGUCAUCCGCCUGGGGAGUACGGUCGCAAGAUUAAAACUCAAAGGAAUUGACGGGGGCCCGCACAAGCGGUGGAUGAUGUGGUUUAAUUCGAUGCAACGCGAAAACCUUAACCUACCCUUGACAUGUCAGGAAUCCUCCAGAGACGGGGGAGGUGCACGAAAGGGAGCCUGAACACAGGUGCUGCAUGGCUGUCGU